rnacentral:rRNA from 1 species
UACGUAGGGGGCUAGCGUUGUCCGGAUUUAUUGGGCGUAAAGAGCGUGUAGGCGGCCUGGUAGGUCUGCUGUGAAAACUCGAGGCUCAACCUCGAGAUGUCGGCGGAAACCAUCUGGCUAGAGUCCGGAAGAGGAGAGUGGAAUUCCUGGUGUAGCGGUGAAAUGCGCAGAUAUCAGGAAGAACACCCGUGGCGAAGGCGGCUCGCUGGGACGGUACUGACGCUGAGACGCGAAAGCGUGGGGAGCGAACAGG